GAUUUGGCGGUACUUUAGUCCAUUCAGAGGAACCUGUCCUAUAAUUGAUGAUCCACGAUUUAUACUACUUACUUUCUAUAAGUUUAUAUAUCGCCGUAGGUGGAAUUUUUUUUAAGAAUAAUAAUGUUCAAGAUUUUUUCUAAGAAAGUAAAUCAGGUCAAGAUGUAGCAAAUAGGUGAGCAGAGAUGGGUUACAAUGAUUAUAUUUAUUACGGAAUGGUACAUUAAAAUGUAUUGUGAAGGCGGAUUUGAUGGUAAUUUUAUUUAAAAUAUUUAAGAUGAUUCUGGCUCUGGAGUAUGCACAUAUCGCCCGUCACUUUCACCCUAAAGUGAAAUAAGUCGUAACAUAGUAGGCGUACUGGAAAGUGUGCCUGGUCAGGUCGAACUAGAGCUUGAUAAAGCAUUUUAUUUACAUUAAAAAGUUUAUUGUGUAAUCAAUAUGGUUUGAUUUAAGUGUAUUAUUAAUUUAUUUUAGAUUUUAAGUAUAAUUUUAAAAUAAGAAAAUUAUUGUUAUAUUAUUUGGUAAGAAAUAAUAAUUUUAAUUAUAAUGUAUUAGUAUUGUAAAAGAAAUAUUUUUAAAAUUUUAAAAGAAAAAUUUAAUUUUUGUACCUUGUGUAUCAGGGUUUAUUAAAUAAAAUUUAUUAAAAAUAAAUUUCUCGAAUUUAAAAGAGCUAUUAAUUUAUAUCUUUUACUGUGGCAUAAUUAUUGUAAAUAAGUUAAUAGAUGUGAAAUGCUAUUCGUUUUUAAAUAUAUCUAGUUUUUUAAGAAAUAAAUUCAAUUUUAUUUUUUUAAAAAUAUAAAACUUAUUUUUAUAGUUUUAUAUUUAAAAAAUUUAAUAUCUUAGGGGAUGAGCUUUAAGGUAGAGUAUUAAAAGUAAUGUUUUAUUAGGUAAAUAAAUAGGAUUACAAGUUUUCAUUUUUAAUAGUGUGUUAUAACUAACUUACUUAAUAAUAAAAUUUAUAUAUAUAGCUUUAACUUUUUUAUUAAAAUAUAUUUUUAAACGUUUAAAAAUUAGAAAUUAUGAUAAAAUUAGUAUAAUUUUAUGUUUAAAGUAGUUUAAAUCAAAGGUUAAAUAAAGGAACUCGGCAAAUGGAUUCUCCACCUGUUUAUUAAAAACAUGGCCUUUUGAUAAUAAUUUAAGGUCUAACCUGCCCAAUGAUUCAAGGAUUAAAUGGCCGCGGUAGCCUGACCGUGCAAAGGUAGCAUAAUCAUUAGUUUUUUAAUUGAAAGCUGGAAUGAAAGGUUGAAUGAGGGAAUAACUGUCUCUAUUUAAAUUCAUUAGAAUUUUAUCUUUAAGUAAAAAAGCUUAAAUAUAUCUAGAAGACGAGAAGACCCUAUAGAGUUUUAUAUAAUUUACAUAGAAAAUCUUUAGUAUUUAG
rnacentral:rRNA from 1 species